rnacentral:ncRNA from 2 species
GUAUAAUGUGGCCGCCUUGGUGCCCGCCCCCUGUUCGUGGGGGCAGUUAAACGGGAAACGCAAUGUGCUGCCCCCGCAACGGUACGCAAGCGCCGUCGUCAUGACGGCAGGCCGCGCCAAACAACCACUGCAUCAAUGAACACGCAGGAAGGUGGAACGGUCAGUCUUGCCAGCCCGGAUACCGGCCAGGGAGGUGGAAGCGCA